UUUAUUGCCUAGGGGCCCCUUUUUUCCUUUUCGCCUAGGGCCCCCGGAAUGUCAGGGCCGGCCUUGCCUCCUGCAAUCUGACGAUUAAGUUAUAAAUCAAGUUAAAGUAGCAGUUUUUUUUUUGUUUUUUCUCUUAAAAUGUGGGGGCUAUACACAAUUUCUUUUAGGAAACGAGGCUAUACAUAUUCGCUGUAAUAGUAUCAUUUGUGGGAUUAAUUAUUGAAAAUUUGAAUUUAGAGAUGUAGGGGUAAAAAUGUAUAUUUAUUAAUAGUUUAAUUAUACUUUUAAUAAGGGGCUAUAAUGAGAAAUUUAGGGGCUAUGUAUAAAAUUACCCAUUUUAUUUUGUUAUUCCUCGUUUUAUUUAGGGUUAAUUG
rnacentral:lncRNA from 1 species